UACGUAGGCAGCAAGCGUUGUUCGGAGUUACUGGGCGUAAAGGGUGUGUAGGCGGUUCUCUAAGUCUGGUGUGAAAUCUCCCGGCUCAACUGGGAGGGUGCGCCGGAAACUGGAGAGCUAGAGUACUGGAUGGGAGAGUGGAAUUCCUGGUGUAGCGGUGAAUUGCGUAGAUAUCAGGAGGAACACCUGUGGUGUAGACGGCUCUCUGGACAGUAACUGACGCUGAGACACGAAAGCGUGGGUAGCAAACAGG
rnacentral:rRNA from 1 species